rnacentral:rRNA from 1 species
UGUUAGUCGAGCGGAUGAAGGGAGCUUGCUCCUGGAUUCAGCGGCGGACGGGUGAGUAAUGCCUAGGAAUCUGCCUGGUAGUGGGGGAUAACGUCCGGAAACGGGCGCUAAUACCGCAUACGUCCUGAGGGAGAAAGUGGGGGAUCUUCGGACCUCACGCUAUCAGAUGAGCCUAGGUCGGAUUAGCUAGUUGGUGGGGUAAAGGCCUACCAAGGCGACGAUCCGUAACUGGUCUGAGAGGAUGAUCAGUCACACUGGAACUGAGACACGGUCCAGACUCCUACGGGAGGCAGCAGUGGGGAAUAUUGGACAAUGGGCGAAAGCCUGAUCCAGCCAUGCCGCGUGUGUGAAGAAGGUCUUCGGAUUGUAAAGCACUUUAAGUUGGGAGGAAGGGCAGUAAGUUAAUACCUUGCUGUUUUGACGUUACCAACAGAAUAAGCACCGGCUAACUUCGUGCCAGCAGCCGCGGUAAUACGAAGGGUGCAAGCGUUAAUCGGAAUUACUGGGCGUAAAGCGCGCGUAGGUGGUUCAGCAAGUUGGAUGUGAAAUCCCCGGGCUCAACCUGGGAACUGCAUCCAAAACUACUGAGCUAGAGUACGGUAGAGGGUGGUGGAAUUUCCUGUGUAGCGGUGAAAUGCGUAGAUAUAGGAAGGAACACCAGUGGCGAAGGCGACCACCUGGACUGAUACUGACACUGAGGUGCGAAAGCGUGGGGAGCAAACAGGAUUAGAUACCCUGGUAGUCCACGCCGUAAACGAUGUCGACUAGCCGUUGGGAUCCUUGAGAUCUUAGUGGCGCAGCUAACGCGAUAAGUCGACCGCCUGGGGAGUACGGCCGCAAGGUUAAAACUCAAAUGAAUUGACGGGGGCCCGCACAAGCGGUGGAGCAUGUGGUUAAUUCGAAGCACGCGAAGACCUUACCUGGCCUUGACUGCUGAGACUUUCCGAAAUGGAUUGGUGCUUCGGGACUCAGACCAGUGCUGCUGG